AUUGAACGCUGGCGGCAGGCCUAACACAUGCAAGUCGAGCGGAUGAAGGGAGCUUGCUCCUGGAUUCAGCGGCGGACGGGUGAGUAAUGCCUAGGAAUCUGCCUGGUAGUGGGGGAUAACGUCCGGAAACGGGCGCUAAUACCGCAUACGUCCUGAGGGAGAAAGUGGGGGAUCUUCGGACCUCACGCUAUCAGAUGAGCCUAGGUCGGAUUAGCUAGUUGGUGGGGUAAAGGCCUACUAAGGCGACGAUCCGUAACUGGUCUGAGAGGCUGAUCAGUCACACUGGAGCUGAGACACGGUCCAGACUCCUACGGGAGGCAGCAGUGGGGAAUGUUAGACAGUGGGCGGGAGCCUGAUACAGCCAUGCGGCGUGUGUGGAGACGGUCUUCGGAUUGUAAAGCACUUUAAGUUGGGAGAAAGGGCAGUAAGUUAAUACCUUGCUGUUUUGACGUUACCAACAGAAUAAGCACCGGCUAACUUCGUG
rnacentral:rRNA from 1 species